UACGAAGGGGGCUAGCGUUGUUCGGAAUCACUGGGCGUAAAGCGCACGUAGGCGGACUUUCAAGUCAGGGGUGAAAUCCCGGGGCUCAACCUCGGAAUUGCCUUUGAUACUGUAGGUCUCGAGUCCGGAAGAGGUGGGUGGAAUUCCUAGUGUAGAGGUGAAAUUCGUAGAUAUUAGGAAGAACACCGGUGGCGAAGGCAGGUCACUGGGCCGCAACUGACGCUGAGGAGCGAAAGCAUGGGGAGCGAACAGG
rnacentral:rRNA from 1 species